rnacentral:rRNA from 1 species
UGAGUAACGCGUGGGUAACCUGCCUCAUACAGGGGGAUAACAGUUAGAAAUGACUGCUAAUACCGCAUAAGCGCACAGUGCUGCAUGGCACAGUGUGAAAAACUCCGGUGGUAUGAGAUGGACCCGCGUCUGAUUAGCUAGUUGGUGGGGUAACGGCCUACCAAAGCGACGAUCAGUAGCCGGCCUGAGAGGGUGAACGGCCACAUUGGGACUGAGACACGGCCCAAACUCCUACGGGAGGCAGCAUG